UGACAAGGAUUCCACAAAUUUUGAAAAUAGACCAUCUUUGGAUUAUGACUAAUCUGACAAAACUCAUAUUAUUCCACAAUAUUAUGGACAAAAUUAAAAACCUCGACAGCCUGGUUUUAUAUUUAAGAAAAUUUUAAAAUCUGAGAACUGUAAAUAUCACAGGAAACCCUUGCAUUUUACCAGACAAUUAUGAUAAUCAUCUUGUUGCUUACAACCUCAAGUGAUUUAUUUUUCGUAUGU